rnacentral:rRNA from 1 species
UACGUAGGGGGCCAGCGUUGUCCGGAAUCAUUGGGCGUAAAGCGCGCGUAGGCGGCCCGGUAAGUCCGCUGUGAAAGUCAAAGGCUCAACCUUUGAAUGUCAGCGGAUACUGCCGGGCUAGAGUCCGGAAGAGGCGAGUGGAACUCCUGGUGUAGCGGUGGAAUGCGCAGAUAUCAGGAAGAACACCCGUGGCGAAGGCGGCUCUCUGGGACGGUACUGACGCUGAGACGCGAAAGCGUGGGGAGCGAACAGG